UGGAUGUUGGUAUCUAUUUAUAUGUGUAUGUGUACAAGUGAAUGUGCAUGUGAUGAUGUUUGUAUAUGUCUCCAUAGGAGAAACAAAUUAUAAAUGAGUGCAUGUGCAAUACCUUGAGAAUGAAAAAAAACCAAUUAUAACCAACUUCAACUUCAUCAAGGUCUUGUUAGCUCCAGUGUACCUUCUUUAUCUCUCUCCUACUUUAAUUUCUUGGCA
rnacentral:lncRNA from 1 species